rnacentral:lncRNA from 1 species
AGCGGCCUGGGAACUCUUAGCUGAGCAGGCGAGAGCAUCAUGGAUACCGACUUAUAUGAUGAGUUUGGGAAUUAUAUUGGACCAGAGCUUGAUUCUGAUGAAGAUGAUGAUGAAUUGGGUAGAGAGACCAAAGAUCUUGAUGAGGUAAAACAAAUAUAUUGCUCUUUUAUCUCACUCUUAUUUAUUUUAUUUAAGACAAGAUCUCACUCUCUUGCCAGGUUGGAGUGCAGUGGCGCAAUCUCAGCUCACUGCAACCUCCACCUCCUGGGCUUAAGUGAUCCUCCCACCUUGGCCUCCCAAGUAGCUGGGACUACAGAUGGAUGAUGAUGACGACGACGAUGACGUAGGAGAUCAUGACGAUGACCACCCUGGGAUGGAGGUGGUGCUGCAUGAGGACAAGAAGUACUACCCAACAGCCGAGGAGGUGUAUGGUCCUGAGGUGGAGACCAUAGUUCAAGAGGAAGACACUCAGCCUCUCACAGAACCCAUUAUUAAGCCAGUGAAAACCAAGAAAUUCACUCUGAUGGAGCAGACAUUACCUGUUACGGUGUAUGAGAUGGA